rnacentral:lncRNA from 1 species
ACAGAGGAACAUUUUGGACGUGGGAUUAUUAUGCCAGACAAUGCAGUUUUCAGGAAAUAAUUUCAUAACAUGCAACCCCAUUUCCUUCAUUCACCUUAAACAGACACAAGCAUGCAACCCCAUUUCCUUCAUUCACCUUAAACAGACACAAGCAUGACAGACAGAAAGAUGGAUUAUCAACAGCUUUUCUGCCACACAAGGGGUUUAAGCAAGGAAAUUAAAGACCUAGAACCAAAUAUGCUAGAUUUCAAAAGACUAAUGCACUGCACUGCACUGCACUGCAACUCAAUAUCAGAUCAUGAAAAUAAGGAUCCCAACAAAAGCAUAACACGUUCAAUUGAAUUUGGUAACAUGAUUCUCAGUUGUAUAGCUGCUAAAC